ACCAGACUCCUACGGGAGGCAGCAGUCGGGAAUAUUGCGCCAUGGAGGAAACUCUGCCGCAGUGACGCCGCGUGCAGGACGACGGUUUUCGGAUUUUCCCCUGCUUUCGACCUUGAAGAAAGCCCUGCCGGUACCUUUCUCCUAAGCUCCUUCUCCCUACGUGCCCUCCUCCGCGGUCCUCCUUAGGGAGCCCUCGUUAUCCGGAUUUCUUGGGUGUAAAGGGAGCGUAGGCGGGACGGCAAGUCAGAUGUGAAAACUGAGGGCGCAACUUUCAGACUGCAUUUGAAACUGCUGUUCUUGAGUGAAGUAGAGGGAAGCGGAAUUCCGAGUGUAGCGGUGAAAUGCGUAGAGAGGAGGAGGAACAGCGGUGGCGAAGGCGGCUUACUGGGCUUUUACUGACGCUGAGGCUCGAAAGCGUGGUGAGCAAACAGGAUUAGAUACCCUUGUAC
rnacentral:rRNA from 1 species